GACGAACGCCGGCGGCGUGCUUAACACAUGCAAGUCGAACGGAAAGGCCCUGCUUUUGUGGGGUGCUCGAGUGGCGAACGGGUGAGUAACACGUGAGUAACCUGCCCUUGACUUUGGGAUAACUUCAGGAAACUGGGGCUAAUACCGGAUAGGAGCUCCUGCUGCAUGGUGGGGGUUGGAAAGUUUCGGCGGUUGGGGAUGGACUCGCGGCUUAUCAGCUUGUUGGUGGGGUAGUGGCUUACCAAGGCUUUGACGGGUAGCAGGCCUGAGAGGGUGACCGGCCACAUUGGGACUGAGAUGCGGCCCAGACUCCUACGGGAGGCAGCAGUGGGGAAUAUUGCACAAUGGGCGGAAGCCUGAUGCAGCAACGCCGCGUGCGGGAUGACGGCCUUCGGGUUGUAAACCGCUUUCGCCUGUGACGAAGCGUGAGUGACGGUAAUGGGUAAAGAAGCACCGGCUAACUACGUG
rnacentral:rRNA from 1 species